rnacentral:rRNA from 1 species
UACGGGGGGGGCAAGCGUUGUUCGGAAUUACUGGGCGUAAAGGGCUCGUAGGUGGCCAACUAAGUCAGACGUGAAAUCCCUCGGCUUAACCGGGGAACUGCGUCUGAUACUGGAUGGCUUGAGAUUGGGAGAGGGAUGCGGAAUUCCAGGUGUAGCGGUGAAAUGCGUAGAUAUCUGGAGGAACACCGGUGGCGAAGGCGGCAUCCUGGACCAACUCUGACGCUGAGGAGCGAAAGCCAGGGGAGCAAACGGG